rnacentral:rRNA from 1 species
GUCUCAGUUCGGAUUGGAGUCUGCAACCCGACUCCAUGAAGCUGGAUUCGCUAGUAAUCGCGCAUCAGCCACGGCGCGGUGAAUACGUUCCCGGGCCUUGUACACACCGCCCGUCAAGCCAUGGAAGCCGGGAGUGCCUGAAGUGCGUGAGCGCAAGCAGCGCCCUAAGGUAAAACCGGUGACUGGGGCUAAGUCGUAACAAGGUAAC